rnacentral:ribozyme from 12 species
ACUCUUUCUAUCCCCUUUUUCUUCUUGUUUUUCUUCUUCUUCUUCUUUCUCGUCCGUGGGGCGAUCUU